rnacentral:rRNA from 1 species
AGUACACUCCUGCGGGAGGCAGCAGUGGGGAAUUUUGGACAAUGGGCGCAAGCCUGAUCCAGCCAUGCCGCGUGCGGGAAGAAGGCCUUCGGGUUGUAAACCGCUUUUGUCAGGGAAGAAAAGGUUCUGGCUAAUACCUGGGACUCAUGACGGUACCUGAAGAAUAAGCACCGGCUAACUACGUGCCAGCAGCCGCGGUAAUACGUAGGGUGCAAGCGUUAAUCGGAAUUACUGGGCGUAAAGCGUGCGCAGGCGGUUAUGCAAGACAGAGGUGAAAUCCCCGGGCUCAACCUGGGAACUGCCUUUGUGACUGCAUGGCUAGAGUACGGUAGAGGGGGAUGGAAUUCCGCGUGUAGCAGUGAAAUGCGUAGAUAUGCGGAGGAACACCGAUGGCGAAGGCAAUCCCCUGGACCUGUACUGACGCUCAUGCACGAAAGCGUGGGGAGCAAACAGGAUUAGAUACCCUGGUAGUCCC